UACGUAGGGGGCAAGCGUUGUCCGGAAUUAUUGGGCGUAAAGAGCGCGUAGGCGGUCCGAUAAGUCGGCUGUGAAAGUCAGGGGCUCAACCCUUGAAAGCCGGCCGAUAAUGUCGGACUAGAGUCCGGAAGAGGCGAGUGGAAUUCCCGGUGUAGCGGUGAAAUGCGCAGAUAUCGGGAGGAACACCAAUAGCGAAGGCAGCUCGCUGGGACGUUACUGACACUAAGGCGCGAAAGCGUGGGGAGCGAACAGG
rnacentral:rRNA from 1 species